GACGCCGGCAUGGGCCCGAGCUGCCCGCUGGUGUGCUGCUCUGCAGCUCAGGAGCAGCGAAGGGAGUAGGGAAUGCAUCACAUUACCAGAGGACAGGUAGACAAACGAAAACGGUAGCUGUAGAUAGUAGUUUAAAAGUACACUUACAUUACUUUUUUAACAUUUCGACUUAAAAAUGAUCCUAAGAAUGAAUGAGUGCCGUCUCAGGAGUGAUCUUGAGAAAGAUGACAGGAAGAGCUAGCGUGGCCCACCAAGGGAGUCAGCAGAGCACCUCAUUCACACAGAGCUGACUCUUAAAUUGAAUCUGCCAUGCCCUGCCUGUGUGUUGUAAAAAGCCUUACAGCCCCUGCUACCCAGCCCCUCCGUUCAUCUUCCUUCCCUUUUCUUUCCGAGGACAAUGGUGUUGCCUUGAUAGUCUUCAGACAAGCCUGGUUCCUGCUGCAGGUGGUGUGCUUUGGCCAAACCUCAACUGCUGGACUUCGUGGGACUGGAAAACUCACAGAGGUAUUCAAAAAGCAACCAGUUCUAUGUGGCCCUGCUUGAGCAGGGAGCUGGAAAAGAAAACCACCGGAUGUUCUUUCCAUCAGCUACUUUGCAACUCUGUGAUGACCACAGAAGGUCUUCUGCAAAAUCCAUGUCUGUUUAUUUGGCGUUAUUUGAGCAAUGGUGAAGCAUUACAAAAAUGUUUAAAGAACUCUCUACAAUA